rnacentral:rRNA from 1 species
UACGGAAGGCAGCAGUGGGGAAUAUUGCACAAUGGGCGCAAGCCUGAUGCAGCCAUGCCGCGUGUAUGAAGAAGGCCUUCGGGUUGUAAAGUACUUUCAGUCGUGAGGAAGGUGUUAAGGUUAAUAACCUUAGCAAUUGACGUUAGCGACAGAAGAAGCACCGGCUAACUCCGUGCCAGCAGCCGCGGUAAUACGGAGGGUGCGAGCGUUAAUCGGAAUUACUGGGCGUAAAGGGCACGCAGGCGGUUAAUUAAGUUGGAUGUGAAAUCCCCGGGCUUAACCUGGGAAUGGCAUUUCAAAGACUGGUUAGCUAGAGUCUUGUAGAGGGGGUAGAAUUCCAUGUGUAGCGGUGAAAUGCGUAGAGAUGUGGAGGAAUACCGGUGGCGAAAGGCGGCCCCUGGACAAAAGGACUGACGCUCAUGUGCGAAAAGCGUGGGGAGCAAAACAGGGAAUUAGAAUACC